rnacentral:rRNA from 1 species
GAUCUGGCUCAGGAUGAACGCUAGCUACAGGCUUAACACAUGCAAGUCGAGGGGCAGCAUUUUUAUAGCAAUAUAAAAGAUGGCGACCGGCGCACGGGUGAGUAACACGUAUCCAACCUGCCGAUAACUCGGGGAUAACCCUUCGAAAGAAGGCCUAAUAUCCGAUGGCAUAUCCCUUCCGCCUGGUUGGGAUAUUAAAGAACUUCGGUUAUCGAUGGGGAUGCGUUCCAUUAGCUUGUUGGCGGGUAACGG